GUCUCCGUGGCUUAGUCAGGAGAAUACCCGACUAUGAUGCGGUUGGAUUUGGGUUCGAGUCCCGAUGAAGACA